GAAAGAGAAAACAGUAGGAAAAAAAUAGGUUUUUUUAAAUUUAUUAAAAAGUAUUUUUUUGUUGUUCGGUUGAGUAGUUAAAUGUUUUUGUUGUUUGUGUUUUCAGAAAUUUUUGGAAAAUUUUAGAAACCAAAGGUGCAGUAUCAAAUAUUUCUUGCAAUUUUAGAUUUUGUUGCGUUUUGGGAGAGAUAGAAACUACAAAAUCCAUAAAGUAAAUAAUAAAAUAUUAAAAUAACGUUUCAGCUCAACGAAGGAAUACAAAGAUGACACGUCUUUUCGUUCUGUGAAAAUCCUCAAGAUGUAUUUUGAAUGUAAAAUUUCAAAAAUAUAGUAAAAUUAUGAAGAAGAAUUAUUUAAUUAUUAAGUUAAAUGCAGUAAACUUUAAAUCCAAGAUGAAACAUCUAAGACAAUUAAAUAGAACAAUACAACAAUUUGUAAAACUUUCAUAAAAGAUGACAAUUAUUAGCAGAGAGAAAAUGAUGACGUUUUCAUUUAUAAUCAGUUACAUCGCUUUUAAUCACUUAUAAAAUUUAGAAUUUAUAUAAAUCGUUGCGAUGAUUGGACAAAUAUUAAUGGAGUGUUAUUAAUCAAAAACAAGAGUUUACAAUUUCCCGUUUUUUGUUGCUUUUUUUCUAAAGUACAUUUCUCUAUCAAUUGUAUCAUAAAUUGUUUGCCCUCUAUUUAUUUUAUCCGCUUCAUCCUUUAUCUUACUCCACACCUAUCUUUCUGUAUUGUGAAUCAUCGUAACCUGCAGAAGUAUUGAGUGUUAUUAUUGGCUCGAAAUUGAAACUCUAAGAAGGAAGAGGAUCUCUUUAGUUUCAAGCUUGUAUAGUUUCCCUCCAACAGGAUGAAAUUGAAUGUUGCCUCGCUCUAACAAUAAGUGGUCGCAUUCUUUAUCUAAUAUCGAUGUUGCAAAUUUUGUAUGAAAUAAAGGUACGCAAAUGUAGAAAGCAUAAACAGUUGAUUUUUGGAUUGCAUUGACGAUUGCUUAACUCAUAACGACAGUCCUAAGUUAAAAAGCAUCAAAAUAUUGUAACUUCUUGCAAACACAAGUAAAUUACAACCGCUUGAUCUAAGCAUUAUGCAAAAUUUUAAAAUUUAUUGAUCGUAAAUUCAUUGUAAAACUCAUAUUGAAAUGCAUAGCAGAGGAAAUUCCACGAGAAAUAAAUUUGUUGCAGGAAAUGUGUUUUAUCACUCUUGUAAGCUCCAAGAUUCUCUCUUACAAUCGCAGGAUGUUUUAGAAAUCAGCUUAUUUUCAAUCAAAAAUAGACAAAAUCGAUGUCAGAUUCAGAAAACUAGGGUGAUAAAUUACCACCAAUAAAGGAAUGAUCUUUAUGGUCAAGACAGAAAUCAAUAAAAACUUCACUACAGAAAAUACAGAACAAGUCCGUCAUUCAUUGCAGUCGUUUAGCCAAGAGUCAUGGGAACUGAUAUUCCACCUUUUUUCUAUCAGUGAAGGAUUGGCAAUAACAUUACUUUGAAUUCGGUUCAAGUAGUGUGGUAAUAUGACGCAAUAAGGUUCUUAGAUCUUUUGUGCAAUAAAGAAAAACAUAAAUACACAUACACAACAUAAGUAGCUUAUUAAAGAAUCCCAAAAAUAGAACAUAACCAUGUCAAGAAUGAAAACAAACUAACGUUGUUUGUGCCAAUUCAACUACAGUCGAACCUGCAUAAGUGAGUACUGUGUGAGUAAGAACCUUUACAACCAUGAUCCAAACGCCAGUCCAAGAAUUUUUACUGAAAAAACUUGUAUAUUCGCCCAAUUUUUACCUGUAUAACUAGGAUAAUUUUUUCCAUUCUUGUAAAAAGAAUGAUUUAUUGCAUUUAAUGUUACUAAAUAGUACGGUUAGAACAUAUUUCGCUGAAAAAAAUGAGAUAUGUAAAGACUUUUUAGAUUUGUUAUAUUUGACAGAUGUCAUUUGGGUUGCCUGCCCUAAUAAAAGUAAAAAUUUGUAAUUGA
rnacentral:lncRNA from 1 species